rnacentral:rRNA from 1 species
GAUGAACGCUGGCGGCGUGCCUAAUACAUGCAAGUCGAGCGAACGGACGAGAAUCUUGCUUCUCUGAUGUUAGCGGCGGACGGGUGAGUAACACUUGUAUAACCUACCUAUAAUACUGGGAUAACUUCGGGAAACCUUAGCUAAUACCGGAUAAUAUUUUGAACCGCAUGGUUCAAAAGUGAAAGACGGUCUUGCUGUCACUUAUAGAUGGAUCCGCGCUGCAUUAGCUAGUUGGUAAGGUAACGGCUUACCAAGGCAACGAUGCAUAGCCGACCUGAGAGGGUGAUCGGCCACACUGGAACUGAGACACGGUCCAGACGACUACGGGAGGCAGCAGUAGGGAAUCUUCCGCAAUGGGCGAAAGCCUGACGGAGCAACGCCGCGUGAGUGAUGAAGGUCUACGGAUCGUAAAACUCUGUUAUUAGGGAAGAACAUAUGUGUAAGUAACUGUGCACAUCUUGACGGUACCUAAUCAGAAAGCCACGGCUAACUACGUG